rfam:Ruminococcus sp. CAG:724 genomic scaffold, scf254
AGAAUUGAUAGAGGCGCGAAAGUAAAGAGUAGCGCGGUGCAGGCACUCAAAUGCCGUAUGCCGCAGUGAAAGGUGCUUUUGCCGAAGCUUUCCGUUUUUGAGAGCGGGAUUGCUGGGCGUUGGGAUAAUAUCCUCUCGACUGUCGCAAAAUUUUUGCGGAGUGCUACAAUAGAU